GAAAAGAACCUGUUUAUUCAACGAACAAAGCACUCCCCAGCACCAAAACAAUUAACAACACCAGAUGACAGCAAAACUCUUUCACCCCUCUGAAGAGCUGAACAAAUCCAGAAAGUCUUUCCUGGGAGUGGUCGCCCGGGUCUGGACGCUGGGGAUUGCUCUCCAGCACUGGGAAUGGCUGCUGCAGAUCACAAAGUGCAGGCUCCUGGUGUUCCUUGGUGUUUCCCAGAUCCCAGUCCAGAGCAGGUUGGAUGGUGUUCAGGAAGAGGAAAGGAAAAAGCAACAGUCCAGGGAAAGAAUUGGACUGCUUAGCUAACCUAACUAGGAAGCAAAGGCAAAAGCAGAAGCAAGCAAAGCAAGCAAGCAGGCAAAGCAAGCAAGCCAAGCAAGCAAGCAAGCAAAGCAAAAGCCAGCCAGCCAGCCCUAGCCUUUUCUAGACAGCAGACCAUGGGGGGAGGUGAACCAGAUGAUAACAAGGCAAAACAAACCUUCACUUUCAGAGUCAGUUCUGAAAGCACAGAACAUAAUAUCAAACGUAAACAGAACAUACUAUUGGAGAUACAAACACCGUAACGUCACCCUAGGAGGCUUAAAGCCUCAUCCAACCUGACCUUGAGCACUUCCAGGGAUGUGGCAGCCACAGCUUCUUGGGAUCCUCAAGUAGGAUGGAUAGGAAACAGAACCUGUCCUUCAGAGUCUAGGAUUCUCAUGUGGUGGUGUGAAGUGAGAGGGCUGGAGUAAUCAGCCCCAUGUUCACCGCCUUCCUGAGAGGGUCCCAUGGGUGAGGAAGGGUCAGGAUCUCUUCAUGGGGUAAGAAUUCACAGCCACCAACCUUCCUUCUGGCAUUCUUGGUGGAGUCUCCUCACAACCAUCAUAGCUCCACUGGUUCACACCUAUCUGCAAUUGGAGACCAAUUGCAAUUGGAAACCAGAGGAGGCAAAGUCCCCUGAAAAGCCAGACCCAUGCCACAAAGAGAGGUGUUCUUUAAUUAUGACACCAGAUGGGAUGGGCAUCAGUCCACAGGCAAUUAUUUCUGAAAAAUGCUUGUGGUUGCCCUCCAACAAAAGAUUGAAAGGCAGGGUACACAUAAAUGUGCAGCUACUGAUGCCACAGAGAACCAAGAGGUUGGCAUAUUUUUAAAAUAUAAGCCCUUUAUAGGCUGAAAAAAUGCAUUUUUUCUGCCAACAGCUCAUUUUAAAAUAGUAUUUUCUGGAGAGCUUCUUUUCAGGGAACUGCAAAGAUGAGUGCCAUGAGAAAAGCAUUACUUCAGAAUACGUGAUAAGGAAAGUGUUGGGGAGCUGCAGCUGUGCCUGUAGUGUCAACCUCUGAUUCUUUACGGUUGUAUCUGAGAACAUAUGAGGCAGGAGCACCCUGUCAGUAUCCACAGUCCACAGUUUGAGUGCCAGAAUCAAAACCAGCGAGCAGUCAGAACCAGGCCAUCCAGCAUGUCUGCUCUGUGCAGACCUGCUCAACCCAUCACUUCUCCUACCAUACCGAACCUCUGCAUGACUUUUGUUGAAUCAUGAAGCUGCAAAAGGCAGACAGCAGCUUGAGCUGGUUCCACUGUUGCCUUCUUUGCACGCUUCUAUGCCACGAGAACACACUCAGAACUGCUCCUGAUGCCCAGCACCGACCCCACCUCACCAUGUCCAGGCUGGUAUCUUCCAGACUGUGAUCAACAACUAAUCAGCUCAUUCCAGGCCCUGCACCACAAGCUGAUACACUCUCCUCUCCUCUCCUAAGUCUACAUUGUGGCUGGAUGGCAGACACUAUUGCCUUCAGGUGAUUAGCCAGACUCUUCUGCCAUCCAUGUAAUUUUCCUGUAAGCCUGAGAGGUGGUAGGCCAAGUAGACUGCUUCUGACUCAUUGCCAGCCAUCAUAUAUCCAUGAGAGCCUCUCUUCUUCAGGAAGCAUCUGACUGUGCCAGAACCACAGAUAAGAAUCAUACUCACUUGAUGUGGUCCACACUUACAAUAAUCAGAGGGCACAGUACUGCAACAUAUUCCAGGGCUUCAGGUAGUAGCUGCCAGCAUUAAUAAUCCAGUUUUUUCUUUCGUUAUCAUGCUAUAUGUGUGAUGCCUAAGUCAGAUGGUGACUUUACCCAACAGCACUAUGUUGCUGAGACGUGAGGCUAUGGGAAGUGAGGAUGCCUCUGUAAAGCAGGGGAAAGUUGUGAUAUUGGGAGGACACAGGUGGGAGGAGGUGUGAUAUUGGUGAGUGGCUGGUGCUGCAGAACUGUGUACCCCUCAGGGUGUUACACUUGGUUUUGCUCCUUGAUUUAGAAGACACAGAAAUAGGCUGCCAAGAUGCUGUUGCUGCUGCUCACCAUCUCAUAUCAGAGGAAAGACCCACUCUUUGACUCCUGAACCUUCUUUUGGUCUUGAUCAUCCUCUCCCUAUCAGCCAGAGCUGCCAAAGCUGCAUGAUUUGUCUGAAAGAGUGCUGAGCCACUGAACAGCACAGGCCUGACUGUGUGAAGGCCAAGCCAAAUGGCAGUGUCCCCAGAAGGCUCCAACCAAGCCUUUGGAUACUUUGGGUAGUCAAACCAACAGGGCUGAGGGUACGCUGCUUCCCUGGGGAAGCAGCUCAGUGUUUAUAGAUGAGCCUGGGUCUGGAGUCCUGCUGUGCUGUAGGGCAGGUGGUGUAGCUGUAGGAGGCCAAGCAGAGGUAAUUCUCUGCCCUCCUUGACUCAGGCUUGAGGAUAAAGUAUGCAGCUCCUUCUCCUCUGUGGAUGAGAGGAUCUAACCUGCAUGCCAGAGGAAAUUUUCACGGUUUCUGAGUCUCUAGAGCAGAUUUCUUUCCAAUUACCUCCUGCAAUACACUGUAUUCAAAGCAGGGUUCUUGCACUAUGAGAGAAUGUUGGUGUUCUGAAGAUCUACAGUUUUUCUACUUUGCUCUGAUAUUGUCUGUAUUUACUGUCCAGACCAGUUGUAGUGCAGCUGAGGCCAGCAGACAGCAAAUGGGGGCUGGUUUUGGCUUUCUGUGGCCCUACAUAUAUUCCAUGGUUUUACAGGAAUUCUGCCCCUAAGCAAAGAUGGGUACCGUGGUGUUUCUUGGCCCCAGCCUAACACGAAGAUUGCACAGAGCAUCUGAAGGGGAACGCCACCAGUGGGAGCACUGGAGCAGGACCGAGGAUGUAGCUGUGCUGUGUUUGUGCCAUCUUUUUGGGAUAAUAAUUCAAAGAUAUUUGAUGAACACGUUCUCUAGUACACUUCCAUAAAUAUCCCAAAGAUGCUUUCUUCAUUCUUUUAAACACUAUUUUCAUCUUCAUUCAACAUGUUUUUGUGGCUGUGAAUUACUUCCUCUGAUUUCAAUGUGAGACACUUCCUAACCUCUCUGAAGCCACUCAUAAUUCUAAGAAAAAACACUAAAAUUAUGUUUUAUCUCUUACAUCAAAGCCUGAAAGCCAAGAAAUUUUAAACUUCAUAAAACUGGGGACACAAAUAUGUGUCUUGGGCACUAUGUUGUUAAAAUCCUGAAAGGGGUUUUUGGGUAGAUAUAUUUUCUCAUUUCCUCAUGAAAUAGAGGGCCUUAUCUAUCUAUCUUGGUUCUCCUAAAAAUGCUUGCAGAAGAAACAUCAAGAGGGGUCCUUGAAAAGGGAUUUGUUCUCAGAAUGCCUUUAAUUCUGCAGACUUUCAUUUUUCUUAAUAUCUUUUUAAGUCAAGUGCCUGAGGCUUCUUGCUUUUCUUGAAAAUGAUCCCAAUUCCCAGCCCCCCUCCAAAAAAAAAAAAAAAAAA
ensembl:lncRNA